rnacentral:rRNA from 1 species
AUUGAACGCUGGCGGCAGGCCUAACACAUGCAAGUCGAACGGUAACAGGAAGAAGCUUGCUUCUUUGCUGACGAGUGGCGGACGGGUGAGUAAUGUCUGGGAAACUGCCUGAUGGAGGGGGAUAACUACUGGAAACGGUAGCUAAUACCGCAUAACGUCGCAAGACCAAAGAGGGGGAACUUCGGGCCUCUUGCCAUCGGAUGUGCCCAGAUGGGAUUAGCUAGUAGGUGGGGUAACGGCUCACCUAGGCGACGAUCCCUAGCUGGUCUGAGAGGAUGACCCGCCACACUGGAACUGAGACACGGUCCAGACUCCUACGGGAGGCAGCAGUGGGGAAUAUUGCACAAUGGGCGCAAGCCUGAUGCAGCCAUGCCGCGUGUAUGAAGAAGGCCUUCGGGUUGUAAAGUACUUUCAGCGGGGAGGAAGGGAGUAAAGUUAAUACCUUUGCUCAUUGACGUUACCCGAAGAAGAAGCACCGGCUAACUCCGUG